AAAGUCAAGUGGUAGACCAAACUUACCUUUUUAUAAAUGGAAUGCCGUACGUUUAUUGCAUAUUGCUACUAUUCGCACAAUUCCAAGCCUGCUCGAUAUAAAUGUUCUGUAAUGAUUUUCAACUGUUUUUGAGUUAAUAACCAAUAUUGAUUGAACUUUGGCCACCUCGUUUUUGCAUUUAAUUUGAGAGACAAGAGAUUAACUAACAAGAGAUUUAAAUUUUUGAAUAUAAUCUUCUGUAGUUUCAUUAGUUUUAGAAAGGAAUAUUAGUUGUUGCUGCUAGUUAGUUCUAGUUAUGGGGUCACUGAACUUUUGUUGAAGUGCAUUUUUAUUUCGUCCCAAGUUUGAAGAUCUGGGCGAGUAAAGGAAAAUCUUCAGCAGCACGUAAUAUAUUAGAUUUUAUUGAUCUGAUCAUUUAACUGAUCAAUUAAUCAAGCGAGCAGUUUUGGGUUAUAACAAUUCUAUUCACACUGUAACAAAAUUUACUCCUUUUGAAAUCAUAACUGGUCACAUUAAAUUAGUAAUUCUUUUCAGAGAAACCAAGGAAAUGGGUCUCAAAUGGAAAAUCCCGAUUGUGAAAAUUCCGAUUGAAAAUGGUCAGAUGAAACGGAAAUACAACUAAAUUCCUUAAAUAAUCCAAUACUUCCGAUUAAGCUAGUUUAUAGUAAACAUACAUUUCUACGCUAUAUAGAUUUAAUUGAGAUAAUUACUCAAAUGAAAAAUGUAAAAAGCAAUUUUCUAAUUCUUAAAGGCUAUUUAAAGUCACAUAACGGUACUAACGGAAUAUCAUAUCAUCAGUUAUCAGAAAGUUUACUAAUAAGAACCGACAACUUAAUUCACAUCGCAUCAAGUAAACUUCAAAAUUUAAUACCAAAUAAUCGAAAAAAACGAGGUUUCUUAAAUGUGGUAGGACAAAUUAAUAAAUGGCUUUUUGGUACACUUGAGGCUUAAGACGGCCAACAUUACAAUGAAGCAAUUGCUACUUUAGAGAGUAAUCAAAUAAAUAUCAACAAUGAACUAAAACUUCAAAUGUCACUAUCCAAAGGUUUGAUCGCCCAUUACAAUAAGACCAUAACUACCCUUAACCACAAUCAGGACAAACUUGUUAGAUUAAGAAUAAGGUCCUUUCAGCAACUAAUGCAACAAACCAUAACCAACGUGCAGCAUGAUCUUGGGUUUCAUGGGUCAAUAACGCAAUUAAACUUAGAUUGUCAAAACUUAAUUAUGGUUUUGAAUAAUUUAGAGGACGCAAUAAUGUUUUCCAAGUUAAAUGCGCUGCAUAACAGUAUUUUGCCUACUAACGAACUAACAACUAUGCUAAAAUAUUUAGAAAGCAGGUAUAAAGUUGCAGCAAUCCCAAAAUUUCAAAAUAUACUCUCAUAUUAUUAAUUUUUUGGAACUCAGGUUAGUUUCUCUCGGACAAAAAUAAUUUUUGCAAUACACGUACUUAUACUAAAGCCAGAAGAUUUAAUGUUUUUCCACCUAUACCCCAUUGUCCCAAAUAGAACCAUAUUCAUUCCCCAAUACCCUUACCUCGCACAAGAAGAAGUAGGAAACCAGCAUAUCAGUCACCCUUGUCCAAAAAUAGAAGACACGUAUUACUGCAACAAAGAGUUUCACCCACAAGAUGUCUGUAUUAAUGAACUUUUAAAAAGCAAAGCAUUACAUAAUUGCCCAACCUUCAACAUUAAUUUAGCAGAGCCAAUAGUUGAACAAGUAACGCAAGAAUUGGUUCUCGUACUGUUAACAGAACCUGCAAAGUUAAUAUCCAAAUGUGGUACCGAUCAGUAUCACCUGCUUGAAACAUCAACCCUUGUCAAGAUCCCGGAAAAUUGCGAAAUUAUAAUUAAUAAAAAGAAAUUUAUCAACAACAUCAACAUUCAAAUGGAAAACCCAUUUAUCUUGCCGAAAAUCACACUACCUCAAACAAUAACUACGAAGUUGUUGGACGCACCAAACAUUUCCAAAAUUAAUCGGGACGAAAUUUAUCAUUUGAAGGAAAUAGCCAAUCAAAAUUUACCAGUGACUCUAAACCAGAAGUCAAAACACCAAGAAUACGCCUUCUUUGGUAUUGUGGGCGUCUGCACAUUUCUUUUGAUUCUCCUAUUGACGAGCCAAUGGAACCGAGUCAAAAUCUUUUGGCUAUCGACCUGAAAUGCCUUCCACAAAUCUACGGAUUUUCAAGUACCAGAUGAUUACGCAGCAACUGCCCCUUCGAAAAAACGGUCCGUUAUUUUCGAAUCCUGAGGAGGGAGAAGUUACAUAGCGAUAACAACCGAUUCUGCAACCAGAAUCGCAAGAAGCCACCAGGCUCCAGAAUUCGACGUGUCAGCAGUUAUGUUUACCUCAUUUGAUUGUUUCAUAUAAAAUAUCAUUCUUCGUAACCACCUCGUGGCGUUAAGUAGUCAAGCCUAUUUGUCGUUGUAUUGAAUAAAACUUUUUAAAAACGGUUUUGUUCAUUAAAGUUUUAUAAUUCCAGAGUCUUUUAUAACGAAAUAAAUGAAAAACUUAGAGAUAAAAAGGAACAUUUAUCAUCAAAAUUUAAUAUGGAUAAAGACAACCCUGAAGACAUAUUUGAACCAAAACAAACAGUUUACGUAAAAAAGCAUAUACGACAAAAACAUGCUGACAAAUUGGAAAAACCUUCUAAAUUAAUUGCUGUUGACUUUCAGAAAAGGACAGGUCAAACUGACAAGAAAAGAAAAAUUCAUCUUUCAAAUAUAAAAAAAAACCUCUCAAACGCAAUAUAGCUUUAAUUAACUCAUUCUGAUGAUGAAUAUAAAAUGGAAACAUGAAACUUUUUAAAAAUACUUUUACUUACUCAAGAAACGGUCCAAUCUAAAAUUAGCGAAUUCAUUCCACACCCACAGCGAAUAAGAGAUAGAAGUUAAAAUAACUACCCCUAUAUUCAACCAGUCAGACGACUCCAGCCACUGGGCCCUCAUCUUCCCAAAAGACGAACGUAUCCAUUUGAAUUGUCCAGUGCAUGAAGAACAUUUGACGCUAUUCGGAACCUAUAUUGCCCAUGUACCAAUAGGAUGCAGCAUUACUUCCAGCCAAGAAUCAAUCAGAAAUCUUCGCCAACCCUUUCAAGAUCGUACUCAACCAAUACUAUUUCCAGACUUCAAUGAUAAACUCAAAGAACUACCACUACUGAACCUCAGCAUACACAGCAAAGACAUCAAACUGGAUGACCUUUUCAAAAUCAAGAACCGUAUCGAAAAAAUAAACUGAAAUUUGUUAUCAAACAGUGUAUAUGAUUUAAAACCGAGUAUAUGGACAAUUUGUGUAUACAUAAUAAUCACAUUAUUGAUUUCAUAUUUGGCUUACAAAAAGCUCAAAUCCACCCGAUGUUUACUCCGAGAUGCCAGAGUAGCCAUUCCAGAAGAAGACGUUCAGCUUCCAAACCAAUCCGUGUAAGCUGAAUCUACUAGGGGAGGAGUUAUGGGCCAUCUCGUAUAACAAUAAUGCUGACCAUCCGCCAGUCCACGUGUGUGUCGAUUCAACACUAUUAAAUUAUGGCUGCGGAGGAAAAAAUGGAGGAGAGCGCAGCCUCCUCCAGCAGUGACAGUGACUCAGUUGAGGGACCCGCUGAGGCGGCAGCUCCCUCAACUGCCUCCAAGGAGGGCAGGGGCCCGGUGACGGACUCCUCAGACGGCGAGGGAUAUCAAAGCUCAAAUCGCCGUCGAAGGAGGAAGCGAGCCAGGCCCGUGUCCUCCUACGAGGACAAUUCUAAGGCCCAGAGUUUGUCCACAGAUCCGGGACAAAGGAGGGACACUCGCAGAGGAGCCCAGACAAGGACCAGCCAGCCAGAGGACAACACCAGCGAAAAGAAAAAGCAGGCCACCUCUGCCGCCCAGCAGCUUGAUGCCGAGCAGAGGAAGAAGCAAUCCAGAAUCGGAUACUGAGGAUAGCAGCCAAGGCCCCGUACUUUGUCAGAAAUUCCACCCUGCAAAGAGACCUCAAAACAGAUGACCUGCUGGACCAUAUCCGGAACUUA